rnacentral:rRNA from 5 species
GUCCCACCUGACCCCAUGCCGAACUCAGAAGUGAAACGCCGUAGCGCCGAUGGUAGUGUGGGGUCUCCCCAUGCGAGAGUAGGGAACUGCCAGGCA